ensembl:lncRNA
CUAUGGCCCGGCCAGCUGUCUGAAUCUCACUGGACCCUUUGAUCACUCGGCUAAGCAUGCCUCUCCUUAAUGUCAAUAUGCAUUGUCCAUUGCUGUUCUGGUUAGUGUUUAUUGGCUUAUUUCACUGUAGAGCCUCUAGCCCUGCUCAUUAUACCUUAUCCAACCUCUCAGUUCCUCCACCCACACAUGCUAUGACAUCUUCUGGUUUCAAUGAUGUUUCUAGAGACAAUAUCUCUCUCAUAAUCACUAAAUGCCUAGGUUUACCUCCUCUGUACUCACAUCCCACCAUACCUUUGUCUGUACAUUAUACCUUGAAGCUAUUUUAUCGCCCCCAGAAACCUGCUCCUUUUUCUCUCUAUUCUGGACGUCACAGACGACCAAUUCUUAUAGCUUUUAGCCGUACCCUCAUACUUAUUCUUCUCUGCUCCUCUGGGGAUGUAGAGGUGAAUCCAGGCCCUGCAGUACCUGGCUCCACUCCUACUCCCCAGGCGCUCUCUUUUGAUGACUUCUGUAACCGUAAUAACCUUGGUUUCAUGCAUGUUAACAUUAGAAGCCUCCUCCCUAAGUUUGUUUUAUUCACUGCUUUAGCACACUCUGCCAACCCGGAUGUCCUAGCUGUGUCUGAAUCUUGGCUUAGGAAGUCCACCAAAAACUGUGAAAUCUUCAUCCCUAACUACAACGUUUUCAGACAAGAUAGAACGACCAAAGGGGGCAGUGUUGCAAUCUACUGCAGAGAUAGCCUGCAGAGUUCUGUCCUGCUAUCCAGGUCUGUACCCAAACAAUUUGAACUUCUACUUUUAAAAAUCCACCUCUCCAAAAACAAGUCUCUCACCGUUGCCGCCUGCUAUAGACCCCCCUCGGCCCCUAGCUGUGCUCUGGACACCAUAUGUGAACUGAUUGCCCCCCAUCUAUCUUCAGAGAUCGUGCUACUAGGUGACCUAAACUGGGACAUGCUUAACACCCCAGCCAUUCUACAAUCCAAGCUUGAUGCCCUCAAUCUCACACAAAUUAUUAAUGAACCCACCAGGUACAACCCCAAAGCCGCAAACACUGGCACCCUCAUAGAUAUCAUCCUAACCAACGUGCCCUCUAAAUACACCUCUGCUGUUUUCAUCCAAGAUCUCAGCGAUCACUGCCUCAUUGCCUGCACCCGUAAUGGGUUAGCG